rnacentral:rRNA from 1 species
CUUCCCGUCCGCUCAGCCGUACUCAAGCCACACGCCGGGAGGUUAGUAGUUGGGUGGGUGACCACCAGCGAAUCCCUUCUGUUGUAUGUU